AACCCUGGGAGGGGGGAGUGAGGGGGACACAAUGGGAAUGUAAAUAAACAAAACAAUAAAAAUGGAAAAAGAAAAAAGAAAACAAUGAAGUUAAACUUACUUGGUAGAAGGACGCAUCAUGUUUGAAAGUAAUGUCUAAUUGGGUGAUAGAAAAAGUGACAAAGCAGAGAAAGAUUUCACAGAAUAGGAUAUGCCCAACUCUCAUGUGAAGGAAAGAAGAGAGGCAACAUAAGAGGGUUCAUUCAGAGGGAGAGGAGAGAGUGGUCGGUUUUUACUGUGAAAGUUGUACAUAGACAGGUUGCAGAGAGAGAAUGAGUUAGACACAAGUGAAGACCAAACAAGUCAGACAAUGGGAAGGAGCUAGAAGAUUAGAACUCGCUAGACAUCCUAGUGAGUUCCAAGAUAGCCAGUGAGACCCUAUCUUAAUUACCCCCACCCCUGGAAAAAAUUGUCACCAUAUUAAACAAUAAUAUCAAGUAGACUGCCAGAGUUAGUUUGAUGCCAAGCUGAGUAAUUCAGGCAGAGGCUGAGAGAAGCAAGAUUGAAUCAGUCAGCUUGAAGAGGAGUUUGAGCCAGAACAGCUUCGUUGAAUUAGAUAACCAGAGAUCAGAAAGAUCAGGAAAGAAUGAGCUUAUUCAUGGGUAAGUCUCAGAGGCUGAAAGCAUCCUAGGCCUAGAUAAGCUCCUAUAGAGGGUAGACACUUCCAGGACUAGGCCAAGAUUAGCAGACAGAGCAAUAACCCUUAGAGACAACAAUUACAUCAUCCAACAAAAUAUAUAUUUACACAGGACCUCCUGGCCAGGAAAGGCACCAUACCCAGUGAGCUGGACCUUUCCUCAGCAUUCAUUAAUCAAGAAAAUUCUCCAUAUAUGCAGUAUGAUAGAGGCAUGUUCUCAGUUGGUAUUCUCUUCUCAGAUGACUCUAGCUUCAGUCAAGUUGACGAAAAAAAAAAAAAAAAAAAAAAAAAAAAAAAACAGGACAAACAGCAGUUUAUGUCUUCUACUUCAGGAUAUCGAGAAGCCCCUGAUCAACAUUCAGCAGGUAGACCUUAGAUUCUAGUGGGUGCCUCUGUCCUAGUUCAUAAAUGGUGUCUUCUCUAUGGAAAAAAGGGGACAGGAAUCUCUUGUUUUUUCCUCCCUUUCUCCUGUGCUCCCUCUCUCCUCUCUCCUUCCCUCCCUCUUUCCUUCCCCUUUCUUCUGUCUCUGUCUAUGUCUCUGUCUCUCUCUCUCUUUUAUUUAUUGUGUACAUGUGUUUGUGUGUCUGUAAAUUGCACACAUUGCCAGUGUCUAUGUGUAAACACACACUGUGAGAGAACAACGUACAGGAAUCAGUUGUCUCCUUCCACCAUGUGGGUUCUAGCGGUCAAACUCUGGGUGGUCAGGUCUGGUGGCAAGUGUCUUUUAUCAGCUGAGGUGAAUCCCAAGCCAGUCUCGGCCCUGUAAUGGCACUCUGUUC
rnacentral:lncRNA from 1 species